rnacentral:ncRNA from 12 species
AUAGAAUCUGAUUACUGACGGAGAAAUGUGGGAUACCACAGGGGAAUCAGAUUUGCAGGAUGCCGACCGUCUGGGCAACAUUU